AACAUGAGUCGUUGUGUGGCUCGAAAAGCUUGAUAUCUUUGUGUAACUCCUAGACGCUUUAAUUCGUUGAUAUGAUACGAAAUGUGAAUUGGUGCUAUCGUGAGACAUUCUCCUGCCUUUUAUGUAUGAUUUUUCUGUUAAAAUCUCAUAAACAUUAGAGAAUGUGUCGACGAUGGUAGCCUUUUUCUCAUCAGAGCAACAAUGUAUUUUCUUUACA